ensembl:lncRNA
AAACAGUCUCCAUAUUCACGUUCUUUCACUACACGUUCUGUGUUCACUGGGUAUGUCUUUACAUAGUACAAAUCCUAAAAGAUGGGCAAUCUGUGCAAGCGUCUCAUAACUUAUUUUGAAGUAGCCUCCACUAUAUCAUUACUCAGCUUCCCAAACAGUGACAGGAUUCAGAGAAAGACGUUGCCACAAUACAGACAGUCCAACCACGGCCUCCCUCUAUGAUGAAUCUUAUCAGUCAACAGCCUAUCAAUUUCUAAUGACUGUUUACGAGGGCUGGAUGUGGCUCUGGGCAGCCUGGUCUAGUGGUUGGCAACCCUGCACAUAGCAGGGGGCUUGAAACCUCGAUGAUCAUUGUGGUCCUUUUCAACCCAGGCCAUUCUAUGAUUUCUAAUCCUAAUCUUUUUCCCUCACAUAGGACUGAGUGAUUGGAGUACCAGUCAAAAGCAUUGCACUUCCUUUCCUUUUUGGUGAAGAUGUUCCUAAAGAAGCUUUCUCUUGUUUUUCUUGGAGAUUUUCUUGAAGACGUUUUAUGGGACCACUGAUGGAUUUUUUUGGACAAAAGAUAAUUGUGCUGUUAUCUUUUUCUGGAAACAGCAUGUUUUGAAGCAUCUGGUGAAUUAACUUUCUGGUACACUGAUGAAACGGAUUAGCAUGGGACACAUCACAGGCAUCUUCGCUGCUGAUGCAACUAAAAUAUCAGAUUAGCUAAUAUAAGGAGUAAAGAGUUUUUUUUGUUUUUCUUUAAUGCUGGUUGUAUCCUCCAUUCUUUAAAUACAUGCAUAGGUCUUUCUGGCUUCAGCUAAUAACAGAUGUUUUAAACAUGAUGUAAAAGCUCCACACAGAAGGAUAUUUCUCUCCUAUCAACUUCAGUUUGAAGCAUGAAAUAUAAUUAUUCUUAUAUCAUUAUCUUAGCCUGCCUAGUUCAAAGAAAUAAGACACAAUCUGGAAGCAUUUCUAUGCCAAAAAAAUGUGCUAGCCUUUUCUUCUAAAAACUGAGUUGCAGAUAGGAGGGAAAGGAGAGAAUCCUUUUUCUGGGUUAGUAAAAAUGGAGUGUUUGCUUCACUUCAUGUUCCAAUACAAAGCUUAGUACCAUAAUAAGCAUGAGCUAAGAGCAUUUGAAAUGCACAGAGGACACCUAAGCAGAAACAGACUGCUUUUCAGGCAUGACAAGUACUUGCUGCAAAUGAUGGUGCCUAAGGAGAACACAGGCUGAGGCAACCAGAACUGAGAUCUGCUACUGGGAGAUGUGUUUAUCUUCACAUUGAAAACCAGAACCUUAGGUCACUGCAAUCUUGCCAAUAGGAUCAUGUUGUUUUACACCAAAGUAAGAAAUAGAGUAAUUUCUGUUUGUUUUAUUACUGGCAGGACUCAAAAGAGUUACUAGCCUGUGUGUAUCUUUUUAUACCUCAAGGAAGAGAAAAUAUCUUGAAUACAAUAAGACAAAAUAAUAAUAUAAGAUACAGUCCUGAGAAAGUGUAAGAAAUUGAUGAGAAAACCUUCCUUUCUCCAGCUGUGAACAGUUUCUGCUACCUUAACCCAAGAUCUCUUAAGGAGAUGAACUCCUCAAAAGUUUACAGUCAGAAAGAAAGGGAAGAAGCAGACUGCUUACGUAUACUUUGUGCUGUAGAUCAUAAUGUGAAGAUUCAGACACUAAAAAAGAUGAUUUACUUUAAAAGAAUGCUGCUUUCCCAUAGUUCCACUACUACAAGAUCUGAGUUGGUACGUCUUGAAGUACACUGUAGAAUGUAGCGACACCAACACUUCAUUGCAUACAUAUUCCAUGACAGCCUCAACUGCAACAGCAUCUUGACCCGAUGAGGCUGAGUUAAUGUUAAGGCAAGCCACAUCCACAGAAUGGUUAUGGAGACUUAGGUCUUGCUGAACUGAUAGUUAGUAAAGCAGCGUUUCUCACUGUUCUUCCCAGGAAUUACAGAAGACUACUCCAGGAGCCAAAAACCAAGAAGGUAUGAAUACUGCUGCAUGUGAGGUCGUUUUUUUUUUUUUAUUAUUGAAGGUGGAGAUGAAACACAGGCAACAUGAUAGCAUUCGCACUGAGUGCAGCACUAGUCUUUGAGAGUUUAGCAGUUUUGCUUUGUUUUGGUUGUUACUGUUUUGUUAUGGUGGUGGUAGUUUUGUUUCACAAGUGAUUGGAAAACACACACAUACAUGACUCAGAUGUCCAAAGAUCAAACUCAGUUUCACAUUGAGCGUGUCACCAUAUUGGUGCCAACUGCUGUUUCAAGACCUAUUAGCCUGUCAUGACUACCAUGGGUUAGUACUAUAGCUUAAGUUUCAGACACAGUAGACUGGGGUCCCCAUCAGAUUCAAGCAACAGCGACCUGUAAUAUGAGGAGAGUACUCCCAGCUUCAUUAGUCAACCUCAAGUCUUGUUAAAUUUGUUGAAGCAACUUUUCUUAUCUUUUUCAUUAUAUAACACAGAUAAGGCAUGCUUAAUUGAUACAAUGUCAUUCAGGUCACAAAAAAAGCAAAAUUGCUCCUGACAAGUUCUUGGCAAUACCAGGCUAAGUAUUCACAGGUAAGCCCAUUGGCACAUAGAGAAAGAAGAGUUGAACUCACCCAACUGGUGAAGGAACUCUCUGACUAUGCAGCACUCCUACAGAGCAGGGUAGGUGUAAGAAAAG